rnacentral:lncRNA from 1 species
ACGAAAGACGGUUGUUUCCGAGCACUGCAUGCUAAGCUAUCUGUCCUUAGGUUCUCCGUCCUAGGUACAUGAACAAUUUCUGAGUUGAAAAAACUUCUUCUCAAAAGCUUAAUAUCUUCCAGGUAGCUUUCAAAUGCUAGUCAUUCUUCUGGUUCCGAAACCAUCUUCACCAAUUGAGAAAUAAUCUGUUGCAAACGUAACCUGAAAGUGUCUUAAAUUCUUCAUGCAUUUCAUUGCCCAAAUUAACACCACCAUCUCUGAAUGAAAAGGUGAUAAACAUGCUCUUACAUUCAUUGCCCUUAAUAAACCAUCAAAAUCCGGUAACGUGCUAAACCGGCCACCUAGGAGAUACAAGCGACCAGAAGGACUUUUGGCAUGAAACCAAUUUUCACAGAAGGCUAACUAAACAAUUCAUCACUGAGGCUUGGAAUUACAAGAAAAUCUUCAAGGAUGAAUAAGUUAUGGAUUUUACAAACUGAAGGUUUCCCAUCCCGUCCAGUUCCGAGUAUCAGCCAUUAGAAGUGGAUUUCAACCCAGCCAUGAAG